UCCGCCAAGAGAUGACCACAUACAGGCAUUUGCAUCCAAUGCUCUCGGGUAAUUGGUCCAUUCCUCCUUCAGUUUCAUAUGUUACGAACAAUAAAGAUCCUCAUUACUAGCACCAUAAUAUCUGCUACUCAAAUCCUAUUGAUUCCAACUGCCAAAAGUAGGGUUCUUUUGUACGUUACGAGAGAAAAAAAAAAGAUCCCCAAUAACAGCUCGGUAACAACUCAUCGAUUUCUUAUAAUCAAUGCCUGAGAUGUUCCAUUACAUAAACCUCAAACGAUGUUAUCUUCCCAGAGUUCUCAGUUUUUUUCUAAACCAUACUCUGUCAGGAUUACAUGUAAGUUUGAUUUUUGACGUUUUUUAUUUGUUAAUUUUUCUGAAAUAUUUCUUUGAUUUAGUUGUUCAACUCGAUUCUAUAAUUUUUGCAGAUAUAAUUUUUGUGAAAAUAUUUCUUUGAUUUAGUUGUUGGAGUUUUUAUAUAAUGUUAGCAGACUUUUGUUGGUAGAUAUUGAUAAAAGAGCCAGCAUACAUCUCCGGUGGUAAAUAUCAAUAGAAUUUCACUUGAUUUGAUUUGUUUUGGGGUGUUUUAGGAUAGGGCUUGAUGUUUAGAUCAAUAAGGUUUAAGAAUUAAACCUUUCACCAAAAAGACAAUGUUGAUUUAAUACGAGGAGAUAAAUGAUAUAAUGUAGUUACCUUUUCAAAUAUUCAAUUACCUUUUUUUUAGAUUUUUUUUUUUUGUUUUGUUUUAGUAGACAAUUUCCAUUUUUCUAAUUUGGAAUGAGCUUCAAACUAUAUUAACAAAUUGUUUGAAGGAUGGAUGAGCUUUAGUCUGAAUAACUCUUUGCUAUUCAUUGUAUUAAUGGUGCCUUUGAUCAGUUGAAUCACUCUUUGGUUUUAAGGACUGCUGAGAUUUAGUUGGAAUCACUCUUUGUCGUUCAAUGUACUAACUGCAAUGGUGCCUUUGAUCUGUUGAAUACUCAAACUCGAGCAAUUGGAAGCUUGAAAAACAUAUAGUAGAGAUGUUGUUCAAGCUAAAAGUUAGUCUCUUCUUACACAAGAUGGUAUCUAAACCAUAUACCGGUGAUAAGGUGCAAGACAAUGUCUAAACCAAAUACUGGUGAUAAUGUGAUGUCUCACAAUAAAUUAUAGAUGGUCAAUGUCUAUGGCAAACUCAUAUGGUGAUAUUGAUAUGCAAGUCAUCAUUUUAGUGAGUACAACUUCACUCAUUACUUUGUAUUAUCUGUAUAUUACGCCGAAAGUAACUUUUUGGUGAGCAUUUUUUAUGGCAAGUCAGUUGUGGCUUGAUCCGUUUUCAGAAACGUGGUGCAGCCUUGCAGGUGAACAGUCAAUCUGCAAGUAUUGGUCUCCUGACUCAUUCUAAUUUUUGGCAUCUCAAACUGUGCAUAUCUCACAAGUAGAGGGAUGUUGUGCACCUGUGAUGAAAUACUUUUACUCAAAAAUGUCAUAGAAGCACAACGGCUUUACCCGCUUUGCUUGGAAGCCAGUCUCCAGAGGGAUGCUUAGUUCAUUAUUCCAGGAAAAAUUGAUAUUGAUAAAAUAGCAUCUGGCAUGUUGUUGCUUGCAAGGGUUUGAGAUGAAGCAGCAGGAAAGUAAGAAUGAGACGGAAGCUGUUGCAACAUGUUUCCACCGCCCCAACCAAUAAAUCUUGGUCGAAUGUUCUGUAAAUGGGGAAUGCUUUUAAUGUUCAUGCACCAACUGUAGGGUGAUAUAUGCUUAAUUAGUGGAGGUUAUCUGACAACCACAUAUGUCAACAGCCGUGCAAUCAAUAGCAUGGUACUAAACUAGAGAUGAAGUCCAUUUCAUAUAGGUUUACCUAUGUUUCUUUUGUAAAGCCAUCAAGUCUAUGGUUUUCCUUUAAAUGUUCCAGGUCCACCCAAGUAUGCAGGUUGCUAAUCUCUUCAUUACAACGCGACUGCUACCUAAAUACUCAGUUGACUCAUUGAAAAUGGUUGGCGCUAUGUAGCCUUCCAUGCGUGUCCUAAGAAGGUGACUAACAUUCCGGACUAUAAGUUGUGUUUAUUGGAACCUGUCAUCCUGUACUUUUGUGGUUCUUUCCUCAAUGUCUCUGAUUUGGAACUCUUAUCUUUCUUUGCGUUGUGAAAAAAUAUGAUUUCAAAUCCGUCUGUCUUUACUUUGUGGUGGAAAAACGACGCUCCUUACACUUCUGUGUAUUUCCCUCAUUACCU